GCCAGGUGUGGUGGUGCAUGCCUAUAAUCCCAGAGACUUGGGAGGCUGAGGCAGGAGGAUAGUGAGUUCGAGGCCAGCCUCGACAAUUUACUGAGGCCCUAAGCAAUUUAGGGAGACCCUGUCUUAG
rnacentral:sRNA from 1 species